GUGCUUGCUUCAGCAGCACAUAUACUAAAAUUGAAAUGAUACAGAGAUUAGCAUGGCCCCUGUGCAAGGAUGACAUGCAAAUUCAUAUCUUUACUCGAUUAUAUU
rnacentral:snRNA from 1 species